CGGUUGAUCCUGCCGGACCCCACUGCUAUCGGGAUAGGACUAAGACAUGCUAGUCAAGCGCUCCUCAGCCAAAGGGGAGUGCGGCACACAGCUCAGUAACACGUGGCUAACCUGCCCUCGGGACGGAGACAACCCCGGGAAACUGGGGCUAAUCCCCGAUAGGCGAAGAGCCCUGGAAUGGGUCUUCACCCAAAAGGCGCCUAGAUCAUGCUUCUAGGCGUUGCUCAAGGAUGGGGCCGCGGCCGAUCAGGUUGUUGGUGAGGUAACGGCUCACCAAGCCUUUGACCGGUGCGGGCCGCGGGAGCGGGAGCCCGGAGAUGGGAACUGAGACAAGGUCCCAGGCCCUACGGGGCGCAGCAGUUACGAAAAUUUCGCAAUAAGCGAAAGCUUGACGGAGCUAUCCCGAGUGCCGUCCGCUGAGGAUGGCUUUUCUCCAGUGUAGAUAGCUGGAGGAAUAAGGAGAGGGCAAGUCUGGUGUCAGCCGCCGCGGUAAUACCAGCUCUCCGAGUGGUGGGGACGUUUAUUGGGCCUAAAGCAUCCGUAGCCGGCUGGGCAAGUCCCCUGUUAAAUCCAGCGAUUCAAUCGUUGGAUUGCGGGGGAUACUGCUCGGCUAGGGGACGGGAGAAGCCGACGGUAUUUCCGGGGUAGGGGUGAAAUCCUAUAAUCCCGGAAGGACCACCAGUGGCGAAGGCUGUCGGCUAGAACGGGCUCGACGGUGAGGGAUGAAAGCUGGGGGAGCGAACCGGAUUAGAUACCCGGGUAGUCCCAGCUGUAAACGAUGCAGGCUAGGUGUUUGGGCGGCCACGUGCCGCUCUAGUGCCGCAGGGAAGCUGUUAAGCCUGCCGCCUGGGGAGUACGGCCGCAAGGCUGAAACUUAAAGGAAUUGGCGGGGGAGCACCACAAGGGGUGAAGCUUGCGGUUUAAUUGGAGUCAACGCCGGAAAUCUCACCGGGGGCGACAGCAGGAUGAGGGCCAGGCUGAUGACCUUGCUAGACUAGCUGAGAGGAGGUGCAUGGCCGCCGUCAGUUCGUACCGUGAGGCGUCCUGUUAAGUCAGGCAACGAGCGAGACCCGUACCCACAGUUGCCAGCGGCUGCUCCGGCAGGCUGGGUACACUAUGGGGACCGCCUCUGCUAAAGAGGAGGAAGGAGCGGGCGACGGUAGGUCAGUAUGCCCCGAAUUCUCCGGGCUACACGCGGGCUACAAUGGAUGGGACAAUGGGCACCUACACCGAGAGGUGAUGGUAAUCUCCUAAACCCAGCCUUAGUUCGGAUUGAGGGCUGCAACCCGCCCUCGUGAACAUGGAAUCCCUAGUAAUCGCGCGUCAUCAGCGCGCGGUGAAUACGUCCCUGCUCCUUGCACACACCGCCCGUCGUUCCACUCGAGUGGGUUUAGGGUGAGGCGUGGUCUUUUUGGCUGCGUCGAAUCUUAGGUUCGCGAGAGGGGAAAAGUCGUAACAAGGUAGCC
rnacentral:rRNA from 1 species